rnacentral:misc_RNA from 1 species
GUUAUAUUGGUAAUUAACCAACGUACUCUCAUUUCAAUCAUACACAUCACUGAAGUGAAGAUGAAUGAUUUGAAUUGUGACUGCUUCGCAUUGGUAUAAAAGACUCUAAACAAGACAUCAAGUAAAGAUAUUCUGCCCGAGAAAAUGUUAUCAAGUUGAUGAUCUUGAUUCUUGAUAUUUGAUCACACAAAUCAUUCAUCCACAUUAUGGGUCUCAUUUCGU